CGUAAACAACAACAAAAUGAACGCUGAUAGCGAUGUUACGUUCAUUAUCCGGCACAUGGGUACAAGUUAACACAUUUUCCCCGAGUACAGAUCAAUGAAGCGGUAGAAGAUUGAAAGUCGAAUAUGAAUAGUUCAUCGCUGGGUGAUGCAGUUUCGUUUACAGAAGUGGAAAAGGG